rnacentral:rRNA from 1 species
CUCAGGAUGAACGCUGGCGGUCUGCUUAACACAUGCAAGUCGAACGCAACCUUCGGGUUGAGUGGCGGACGGGUGAGUAACGCGUGAGAAUCUGCCUUGGGGUCGGGGACAACCACUGGAAACGGUGGCUAAUACCGGAUAAGCCUUUGGGUAAAAAAUUUAUUGCCCCAAGAGGAGCUCGCGUCUGAUUAGCUAGUUGGUGAGGUAAAAGCUCACCAAGGCAGCGAUCAGUAGCUGGUCUGAGAGGACGAUCAGCCACACUGGGACUGAGACACGGCCCAGACUCCUACGGGAGGCAGCAGUGGGGAAUUUUCCGCAAUGGGCGAAAGCCUGACGGAGCAAGACCGCGUGAGGGAGGAAGGCUCUUGGGUUGUAAACCUCUUUUCUCAGGGAAGAAGCUCUGACGGUACCUGAGGAAUCAGCCUCGGCUAACUCCGUGCCAGCAGCCGCGGUAAUACGGAGGAGGCAAGCGUUAUCCGGAAUUAUUGGGCGUAAAGCGUCCGCAGGUGGCGAUUCAAGUCUGCUGUCAAAGCACGGGGCUUAACUCCGUUAAGGCAGUGGAAACUGAAUAGCUAGAGUGCCGUAGGGGUAGAGGGAAUUCCCGGUGUAGCGGUGAAAUGCGUAGAGAUCGGGAAGAACAUCGGUGGCGAAAGCGCUCUACUGGACGGCAACUGACACUCAGGGACGAAAGCUAGGGGAGCGAAUGGGAUUAGAUACCCCAGUAGUCCUAGCUGUAAACGAUGGAUACUAGGUGUAGCUUGUAUCGACCCGAGCUGUGCCGAAGCUAACGCGUUAAGUAUCCCGNCUGGGGAGUACGCACGCAAGUGUGA